rnacentral:lncRNA from 1 species
GGCCACAAGUGACUUCUCCCACCACAACAAACUUGGACAUGGUGGCUAUGGACCUGUGUACAAGGUGAUAUACAAGCUGUACAUUAAACAUUAAUUAUUUGUGCAAAGAGCCGACAUUGUAUCACUAAUGGUUUAUACUCAACCAGUUUGUCAGUGCUGACAUAAACUCGAAAAGCAGAAAACUGUUACAUAUAUUCCUAAAACCUAAUAAUUGAUAACUAGUAGACGAGUCUGCACGAUACCUGAGUAGGGAGAGCACUGCAGUAUAGUAAAACUCAGUGUUCAUGGUACAUAAUGUGAUUAACUUAGAACCUGGUUGACAUCGCUUUCCCAUGUCUAAAAAUCAGUUUCCCCUUCUUUUUUCUUUUUCUCCUUUUUCUGUUAGAUAGCACAUGUUAGCAUACUAGGAUCCCAACAUCUUUUGAUAUAUAGAAGCAUAAAAGCUGCUGUCAGGAAAAUUAAACAAUGUAGCUUCCAGAACUUAUAAGAAUGGCUGAUACUAUAAACUCUUUUUGAUAAAAUAACAGUAAUCUUUAUUUUCAAAAAAAAACAAAAAACAAUAUUGCCAUUUUUUGACCUACUUGGGUAAUUCACAUGAUUGGGAAAAAAAUAAUCUCAGGGCAACCUGCAAUGCACGACCAAUUGAAGUACAAGUAGCAUUCACCUGUAAGGUGUUUCAAAAAUAUUGA